CCGGCAGAUACAUUGAUCAACUACCGUAACCGCAAAAAACUGCACCAUCGAGUAUUCCUCAAGAUGAACUUCUUCCGUGUCCUCGUGGUGCUUCUCGUGAUCAUGGGCAGCCUCAGCGAUGCCGCUCCCUUCUUCCGAAGGCGCGGAGGCAGGCGCGGCGGUGGCGUGAGCAAAACGAGCUUCGGUUCUGUGGGCAUCGUUGGGAAUCAAAUAAACGUCGAUCCUUACUCCGACAUUGGCUCGGAUGUGUUCCCAAGGGUGCCCCUUUUCGCAAUCUGAGAAAAUAGUGUGAGAUGGAACCGGGCUGUUCCAUCUCGCAGGUUGCACAACUUCAGGCGUCCACUUAAUGGAAAAAGUUCAUCAAAUGUCGUACAAGCCAAGCGAUUAUAAUUGCACUGAUUUCCUUGAUUAGCUGCAGACUUCGGAGAAAACUAUGAAGGAAAUUAUUUUCUGACGUAAUGUAUUCUGAUUUCUGUAUCGUGCAAAUAGUUUUACAAAGCGAGGGAGGUCGCCACUCCUGAGCCUCUCACGUGAAUACUCCUAGGUAUCUUCCUACCAGUGUACUCUUACAGGUGGCAGUAUACUGUUAUAAGUAUUAAUACUUUAGUCACAGUCUGACUAAGGCCGGAAAGAGAGUAGUGCAUAUGUACAGUUCCUAUACUCCGCAUUGCCACUGAGUGAACCAACGAUUUCAUCUCUCCACAGUGAGUAGGAGCUGUGUGGCUCGGAUGCAAGAGUCGAAACUGCCUUAAUACGUUGGCAACACCGUGGUGAACUUUGAAGCAGACGCAGUGUUGGGCAUCGAUACACAAAAUUGUUUAAGGCGUUGCUGAUAUAUCGAUAUUUGUAAAUUGGCUAAAGUGAUGCAUCGAUUCUUCGAUACUAAUACAUGCAUGGCCGAUACAUUAUUAAAAAAUAAUGAGAGAGAAGAGAGAGAGAGAGAGAGAGAGAGAGAAUGAAAGAACGAGAACAGAGAAUGAGAGCUUAGAGAGUGAGAGUUAGCGGGUGUGUAAGUAAUAGAGAGAGUCAAAAGUCAUGUAAAUGCACCAAUGCCCAUCUCAAGUGGAGGGAACACUUUUGUAUUCAGAUAAAGGUGAUGACCAGAA